GUUAUUCUAGUAUAAUUAGUACAACUGACUUCCAAUCAGAAGGUUUGAACUCUUCAAGAAAAACA
rnacentral:tRNA from 1 species